rnacentral:lncRNA from 1 species
ACUCCUGGCGACAUCUCGACAGAUUGACACUGCUACCCCCCACCUCCCAAAAUCCCUGCAAGGCUUCUCAUUUCAAAUGUGACCAUGCUCCAACACAAUGUUGGCAAGCCUAGUCUCGUGUUGGAGGAGGGGGAGGGGACUAUAAAAGCAACAUGUUCGCACAAGCAUGGCAGAGCCCAUGCAUAAACCAUUUGGUUUUGCAAUUAAAAACAGGUUUGGCUUCCCUCUGCAUCAGUAAGACAACGUCAAAGCAACAUUCGUCCUGAAAAUUUUCCCUUGUGAAUUCAAAUGAACUAACUACUUGAUGAAAAUGCUAUUGCUGAAAACACCAUGCACAUUGGAGACAGGACACAGAGACAUCAAGCUGGAGCUGAACUGGAAGGUAUCCAUACUGACUAGCUUUCAAAAGGGGAAACUAGAACAACGGAUCAACUUUGGUCUCUCAAAGUCUCUUCCAAAGGAUCUGCAGAGAUCCCUUUCUGCUGUACCAACACCAUGGUGUUUCCUGGCUCUCCCUCCUCAUCAUGGCCGUUCAUUACCGCCUAGCCUCUAAGGUUCUGCACUUUCAUACACCCUGCCCUUUGGCUUGGCCCUUCAAUCAACAAGUCCUGCAUACCUGAUUGAUCUAGACCUGAAUAUCAUAUCAUAAAAGAUCUCCUGGGCAUUUACUGCUUUCCUUGGAACUUCUAAUUCCAUUCCAAGAUGUUUGUGUCCUUUGGGGUGUUGAUGUUUGCUUUUUCUUUGACACAGUGUCUCUCUAAGCAGCCCAGGUGAGCCUUGCGCUUGUAAUCAUUCUGAUGUUUUCCCUCACAUGCUUGGAUUACAGGCAUGUCCGACUCUAUGAAGCUUGUCUAUGUGAUUUUAUGUUCAUGUUGGUGUACAUGCACAUAUGUUCCUCUGGGUGAUGUUGCAUCUGUAUGUGCAUGUAUAUGGAGGCCAGAAGACAAUCUCAGGUAUCAGUCCUUAGGAUCGAUCCACCAUUAGUUGAUUGACUAUUCUGAAAGAGUGUCCUUGACAGGCCUGAGGCUAGUAGGUUAGGCUGGCGGGCCAGCAAAGCCCACGUAUCUGCCUGACUAGGAUGGGAAUUACAAGUGUGCGCCACUUUCUUUUUCUUUUUCUUUUUUAGCAUGGGUUGAGCAGAUCAAACUCAGCUCCUCAUGGUUGCAAGGCAAACACUUUACUAGUUGAGCAGUCUCCCCAGGGUCUAAUUCAUCUGAUUUAAAGGAAUAAAAUAAGUGGGAUUUUGUGUGUCUCCAUAGGUGCUAUUAGGAAGUACCUUAUAGUAAAACUAUCAAAGUAGAAUUCAAAGAACACUACAGAGAACAGUGAGUUUCUACUAUUAAAAGUUUUAAAGAACUUCACAACCAUUUUAUACCUAUAUAGAGCACUAAUCAUAAUAUAUGCAUUCAUAAACCAGGCUUUGGCUGCUAAGCACCUGUCACCUAAAACAUUAUAGAUGCUCAACAAAUAUUCAUAAAAUGCUAAGAGCAUUCAUAAGCAUAUCAAUAUAUGUUAAUCAGUUCUCACUUAAUAAAAAUGACUUAUAAUCAGAUUGCCUCAAUGGGAGAAAAAAAUAAUCUGUUGCAGCAGAGGAACAAGUAUCUGUCCAAAGAAACCCCACAGUGUCUGUCUUUAAAUACCAAAGUAGCAUUACUGCAGGUAUAUACCAUGGUACUAGAAAUUAGCAUUUUUUAAAAAAUAUACAAACUAGCCAAGAACGAUAGACCAAUAGGGAAAAGUGCUUUUCAGAAAGCCUGAUAAUCUGACUUUGACUCACAGAGCCCACUGUAAAAGAAGAAAAUUAAGUCUGUAAAGUUGCACAUAUGCUGUAGCAUAUGCACACAUAUAUUUAUAUAUCAUGUGCAUACAUACAUAGUAACAAUAAAUACAAUAUUUUAAUUUAAAAAUAUAUACAGCAUGUUGUCAAUUUAGCCAAGUAUAUUGAAAGUAUCUUGAAAUAAAAGCCAGUUACAAUUUUUAAUUUGUUUAAAUAUGUACAUUGGUCUCAGACAGUGGCACAUAGCAAGAAGGUAUUUAAUGAAAGUGUAUUCCAUCAGAUUAAUUCACAUGAAUCAAAACUCAGUUUUCAUGCCCUAAGUGUAGCAAACAGGUUUCUCAACUGUUGGGGAAACAUCAGAUUCUCCUUUCUGUUUUAUCUACUUUACUUCCUCUGCCAAGUUUCAUAAGACUUGAGAAAAUGAAAUAAAAGAAUCUCAGACAAAAAGAGCUAUGUUCUACAUUGAUUUCUAGGAAUUUAUCAGACACAAUACAAACUUUUGAGAAAUCUCCGUGCCUUGCUCGUUUUUCGUUUUCCUACAAUAAACCUGUACGUGCUUAAUGAACAAUUUGAGAUGUUUUUGUUUGGUAAUAAAAUCUUGUGCCACUAGAAGCUAAA